GCCGAAGUCAAUCGGUAGAGCGUGAGACUCUUAGUUUCACGUCCCCACAAGACGAUUGAUACAACUGCAAUCUCAAGGUUGCGGGUUCGACCCCCGCAUCGGGCU